UACGUAGGGUGCGAGCGUUAAUCGGAAUUACUGGGCGUAAAGAGCGCGCAGGCGGUCGUACAAGUCGCGUGUGAAAGCCCCCGGCUCAACUGGGGAGGGUCACGCGAUACUGUCCGACUCGAGGACGGUAGAGGGGGGUGGAAUUCCCGGUGUAGUGGUGAAAUGCGUAGAGAUCGGGAGGAACACCUGUGGCGAAGGCGGCCCCCUGGGCCGGCCCUGACACUGAGACGCGAAGGCGUGGGGAGCGAACGGG
rnacentral:rRNA from 1 species